AGUGAACAAUUAAACGGCCGCGGUACCCUAACCGUGCAAAGGUAGCGUAAUCAUUUGUCUAUUAAUUGUAGACCUGUAUGAAAGGCAAAAUGAGGGUUUUACUGUCUCUUAUAAUUAAUCAAUAAAACUGAUCUCCUAGUAAAAAAGCUAGAAUAAUUCCAUAAGACCAGAAGACCCUGUGAAGCUUAAAUUAAACUAUUAAACCCAAUAAUAACUACUUUCGGUUGGGGCGACCUUGGAACAAAGUUAAACUUCCAAACACCGUGAUUAUAACCCACAACUUUUAACCAGGCCAACAAGCCUACCUUAACCAUAGACCCAGCAUAGCUGAUAACUGAACUAAGUUACUCCAGGGAUAACAGCGCCAUCUUCUUCAAGAGUCCAUAUCAAAAAGAAGGUUUACGACCUCGAUGUUGGAUCCGGACAUCCUAA
rnacentral:rRNA from 1 species